AAUUUAAUGAUCUGUUCUUUGUAAGUGCACUGCUGAACUAAUGCAAAAGGUUAGAGUGAGAAGAAACUUGUCUCCCUUCAAUUUAUUGCACCAGUUCAGCAGGCUAACCUAAGUGACAUCUGUGUGGUGUGUAUCGGCCAGUUAUGUGUUGAUCUUAUUUUAUUCUCCGCACCCACAGCGCGAACAUCGUGAAUCAAUAUCGCAUGAACUCUGUGACGUAAUUAUACACCGCAUGCACAUUUAGAUAAAACGCGAUAAUAACGUUACGAUCACCGCCGUGGUGUCAUCAGCCGGAAGUCACGUGUGAGAGUCACGUGUGAGAGUCACGUGGCGCGAUUUUCGAAAUGUACGAGAACCUGCUUAAGAACCCGCUGCACCGGGUGUUUGUGUACGGCACACUAAAACGGGGAGAACCCAACCACGGCGUCAUAAAGGAUGUCGCGAACGGCUACGCAAAAUUUCUAGGUAUUGGCAAGACGACGAUCUCGUAUCCCCUGGUGAUCGCCACCAGGUACAACAUCCCGUUCCUGUUGAAGAAACCCAACGUCGGCAAUCACGUGCAAGGAGAAAUAUAUGACGUGGAUUCCACGAUGCUGAAGAGAUUGGACGAGCUGGAGGAGCAUCCUACCUUUUACGAGCGCACCGAAGAAGAAAUUUUAUUAGCCUCGGAAGCUGCACUCAAGCCUGGGGAAAGUUUCGAGGAGGUCAGCGAGCUGACGAAAGCGUGGAUAUAUUUCCUACCAAGAUACAAUCCUUCGCUGUUGGACAGCCCCAUGUACGUGUCUUACAGCAACAGCGGAAAACACGGGCUGAAAUAUUGCGAGAAGUAUGUUCGCGACCCGUCCCAUGAUCACAGAAAGGAAGUACAGUGAAAUCAUUGCCGGCACGUAGCUUUUAUCUCGUUGCAGCGAGCAGGACUCGUCAAGCAUCGACGACGUUCUUUGAACACUUCGUUGGACUUACGGAACUAUUUUUACGGAGAAUUAAUACUUCGUCUCACAAGUGCGCUCCGGAAGAGUCGUUCCUGCACAAUAAUGAUUUUAUUUCGGCAAUAACGAUUUGAUUGCUGUAGCGGACCAAUAAAAAGCGGAUCUGAGUCCAAGUGAAGAGCCGAUAAACAAUCUGGUCUGAAAAGGACUCUGAUCACAGACUAACCGUCAGUUUGCAAGGUUGUCUUGUUGCAUGAUAAUAAUCAUUGUCAGAGUGCGACCUAGAUAUUGGAACAGUCGGGUGAUUUCGGGAGUGCGCAGAUACUCGGGUGGUACUCGAGACAUUAAGAUAAUAGCCGAGAUACCCAGGUAUCACCAAAGUGCUCGGAAUUAACGCCAUUAACGUCCUAACGGUUCUACGAUAUUGAUGACUUAUUGAGGUGUAUUAUAUGUUACUUGGAACAACCUGUGUAUAUAUCGUAAUUGACUUUUAUUUUAAAUAUACGCCACCCCACAUCUU